rnacentral:rRNA from 1 species
UACCAGCACCCCGAGUGGUCGGGACGAUUAUUGGGCCUAAAGCAUCCGUAGCCGGUCCUACAAGUCUUCCGUUAAAUCCACCUGCUUAACAGAUGGGCUGCGGAGGAUACUAUGGAGCUAGGAGGCGGGAGAGGCAAGCGGUACUUAGUGGGUAGGGGUAAAAUCCGUUGAUCCAUUGAAGACCACCAGUGGCGAAGGCGGCUUGCCAGAACGCACUCGACGGUGAGGGAUGAAAGCUGGGGGAGCAAACCGG